ACACCCAGAGGAGGAUGAGGGGGAGGAAGAUAGAAGCUUGCAGCCAGCAGAGACUGCAGGCUGGGAGGACGCCAUUGCUGUUAUGGCACGAGGAGAGCCGAUGGUCCCCGAACUGCCUGCCGAAUCUUCUCUGCGCUCAUGUGCCAGCACGGCCAGUAUGAAGGUCAAGAAUGUCAAAAAACUGUCCCUCACCAAAGGCCAUUUUCCCAGGCUGGCAGAAUGUGCCCACUUCCACUAUGAGAAUGUUGACUUUGGCUCU